AUAAAGGCUUUUAUAAAAGCUAUCUAUAUAUAUCUUAAAUUAUUAU
rfam:Physcomitrella patens subsp. patens PHYPAscaffold_151 genomic scaffold, whole genome shotgun sequence.